CGGCUGCGGAGUGCAGCGACCGAGGUCCCGCCCGGCGAGGGGAAGAGAAGCCAAGAGGGGGGAUCCCAGGCAGUGCCCCCUUCCCCUACGCCCGCCGCCACUCGCCUGGUUGGGGUCAGUGGCCCGGAAGACGUGGCAGGCCAUGGGGGAGUCGGGGUUGUCGGGCUGCGCCUUGAUCAGGCUUGUUUUUCCUGCUUGAGUUUUAGUUGUGGGGGUUUCGCCAUCGCUAUCGCGAUAACAUCUCUUGUCAACGACAAAUCCGCCACCUACUGCAGAUGUUAGUAACUAGCCUCCUCUACCUGAGAAAGUAGUUGGACAAAGCUCUGCCAGUCAUACAUCAUCCGUAUCCCUUUGGUAAAUUGACAUCUGUUGUCUUGAUUCUGUUGCCUGCAGAGCAUCUCUCAUCUUCCCACAUUCCCAACUGCGAGAAGCAGCAUCGUACAGCACACUGGUGAUUUGUGUGAGACAUGUGCUUACAUUCCUCUGCUUAUUAUGAAUGUAAACCUUAGCACCACUCUCAGGCCUCAUAUGUGGUUGCAAUAUCCGGUACUUCUCAGUUCAAAAGCAUCACUAGGAAGGAAGCCUGUCUUGCUUUAAUUUGGCCAAGCUCUCAACUGCCAAAGACAUCACAGUGAUGACAUUCAUGGGAACAGAAAAAUUCUUUGCAGCUUCAGUAUAACCAAAAACGUCUGAUUUUUCAGAUUCAGAGGUAAUUCCCAGGGGAAUUAAGCACCUGGGCCAAUUUCAGUGGCAGAGAAGUGUACUCCUAAAUGCGGCAUAAAGACACUGGUAACUAAGCUGCAUAAAAAAAUAGGGAAGAAGGAUUUUAGAGUGGUCAAACUGCAUGAAAACCUUGGAUAGAGAAAUGAAAAUGCUAAUUCUAUAAACAAGACACAGAUCUAGAAAAAUCUUUUUGAGAAAUGUAUAAACAGGGAAAAAAGUAAAAUGAAAACGGGCUCCAAAUGCAACAUGAUACUUUUAGAAGAACAAGUCAUAAUGCAGAAACAUUAGUAUAAUUAAAUUACUGUUUUAAGCGGGUGCAAAUACACAAUGAUAGGUAUUCUGUUAUCAUUAAAAUGCUGAAUGUUGUUUGUGUCACUGGAAAUCUUUAUGCUCAUCUUUUUGAUAACUAAAACAGAAAUUAAAGUGUUUCCAUACAAUGUAAGAAGUAGGAUGGAAGUUAUGAUGACAUGACUGUGUACAGUUCCGGAUCCAAGCAACACAGGGGAGAAAACCUGAAGUCCUUAUCCCAUUUCCAGACAUGCUCUCAAAGGAUUGCUGUGUAGCAAGACUGUGUGUAGCAGUGCCACCUGGUGACCGAUGCUAUGACCAAGUCCCCUGGAAAUACUACUUACCUAGCACAGAGAUUUAUCGUAUGAAAUAAUAAAUUUUCCUUACUGUUCCUAAGCUCAGUAUGUGAUGUACAAAACUGACAUUGAAACUUCCAAUUUAUAUAAACAUAACAAUAUUUGCAAUGUAAACACUGACAGAGUAUUUGUAACUAUGGCACUUAAACAUAUCAAACAGAAGCAGUUCUCAAAUUAGGGCAACUAGACCAUAAUUAGCCACAGGAUGCAAAUGAAGUAUAGGGAAGAGGAAACCCAGAACCCCUAAAAUUAGCCUUUAUGGAGACAAUCAGCAAUCUCAUAUUCCUUACUUUCUCAAUGACACAAAGUCAUAAUUAACAGACAUAUCCCAGUAACUCAGUUCAAGUGACAGCUCAUUUCUCCCCCUUCCCUCAGAAAAGCCCUGGAAACAAGAAUCAGGAAGUCUUUCAAAGGUAUGAGGAGUACUGAGCAUCGUCCCUCCAACUUGUGUGCUUCCUCAUGUGCUGAUUUUGGCUGGGGUAGAAUUAAUUUUCUUUACAAGAGAUAGUACAGGGCUUUGUUUUGGAUUUGUGCUGGAUACAGUGUUGAUAAUGAGAGAUGUUUUUGUUGUUGCUGAGCAGUGCUUAAACACAGCCAAGGCCUUUUCUGCUUCUCACACCAUCCCUCCAGAAGUGGGUUGGGGGUGCAUGAGAAACUGGGAGGGGACCCAGCCAGGACAGCUGAUGCCAACUGACCAAAGGGAUAUCCUAGACUGCAUGACAUCAUGCUCAGUAUAUAAAGGGUGGAGAAGAAGAAGGAAGGGGGGAUAUUUGGAGUAAUGGUGUUUGUCUUCCCAAGUAACCAUUACACAGGAACAGAGCCUGGCUUUUCUGGGGAUGGCUGAACAUGUGCCUGCCCAUGGGAAGUGCUGAAUGAAUUCCUUGUUUUGCUUUGCUUGUGUGUGCAGCUUUUGCCUUACCUAUUAAACUGUCUUUAUCUCAACCCAUGAGUUUUCUCACUUUUACUCUUCUGACUCUCUCCCCCAUCCCACAGAAGGGGAGUGAGCAAGUAGCUUUGUGGUGUUUGACCUGGGAUUAAACCAUGACCCUCCUCCCCUAAAGAACCAAAAGUAGACCUGGAUGAGUAGGUAUGGACAGUGCUGUACAGAUAAAGCAAAAGUAAAGCAAAUGUUUGGCCAAAAUUUCUCAGUGAUAAGAAAGUCCAGUUAUGAACUGCCUGAGCCUCAGGAGGACCGUAACAACAUACCAUGCAAGCUCAGGUCAAGACACUCAGGUCAGAUAUGGACCUGCACAAAUCCAGCUUCCUAAUGAAGUGAAUGCCCAGCAAGCUAGCAGCCCAACCAACAGGCAUGUAACUGUCCUAAAAAUCUAUCUGGGAAAUGAGCCCUAACAUGAUCAACCAAAGAAUUCCGGAAAGGAUAGAGGGUGCUCAGUUUCAAAUGCCCCCUCCCCCUGCCUCCAUUGUAAAGGUUCUUCAGAGAUGAGGCAUUUUUUGCUGCAGGUAGAUCAAAUGACUCAGGCACUUUGGUGUGUUACUUUAGUACCUGCAGGGACUAGCCAGAACCACCCUGCAUGCCUCUGCAAAGGAGUGGAAAUUACCUUCUCAUUAUACCUACAGUUAGGAGGGUAACAAAACAUUUAAAUAUGACAAGGAACAGGGCAAGCAAGAAAAAAAAACGUUCUUCCCCCAACUUAUCAUCUAUCUACUUUUGUUUUUAAUUGAUCCAAGGUAAUGUAUCUUCAGAUAGAGUGCAUAGGCUUGGAAAGGAGAAAUGUAAAAAAAUAAAAGGGGAUGGGAUCACAGUGAACAAGGUUACAUACCUUUAUAACGUGGUUAAAGAAAGGCAGUACAGUUUUGUGGAAGUAGGAACAGCGAUGCUUUUACUUGGGUCAUGACUAGGCCAAAGUGUACGGAAGCUCAAUAUAUAAAACACUAGUGCACAGACAUACUACAGCUAUCUGUGUACUCUUUCUGUGGCACUUUCUACAAAAUAGCUUUUUGCAAGUGGUCUGGUGUGUUUGAAAUUAAAGCAAAAGAAAAAGUCAUAUGAUGAAGACAACAGCUGUUGCUAGGACAUUCCUUCACUAUUCUCUCCCCUGGGUUUGUUGACUGUGCAAGACCCCAUCCCCCUUCCUUCCUCUUGGUCUGUUCUAGGCAAAUGUUGAAAAAAAUAAAAUGUUCACGUGUCUCCUAAAUACAAUUAAGAAAAGGAAAUCAUUUAAAUGCAACCUCCUGCAAAAUUUCAUUAAUCUUGUAUGUCCUCUGUCUUUUCCUGAUUCAAUACAACAUUUUGUCUAGGUCCAAGUAACUGAUACAAAUAGUCCUUGCAGCCUGCAGUUACCCAUCAGCUCCUUGGUAGCCCAUCACAGAGAAAGACUGCGUAUGUUUGAACUCCAUCCUAAUUUAAAAAGGAAAGAAAGUUUAGUCAUAGUCUGAUCCUGAACUUUAGUAAUUUACAGGACAGACUUCCGU